rnacentral:rRNA from 1 species
GACGAACGCUGGCGGCGUGCCUAAUACAUGCAAGUAGAACGCACAGUUUAUACCGUAGCCUGCUACACCAUAGACUGUGAGUUGCGAACGGGUGAGUAACGCGUAGGUAACCUGCCUGGUAGCGGGGGAUAACUAUUGGAAACGAUAGCUAAUACCGCAUAAUAUUGAUUAUUGCAUGAUAAUUGAUUGAAAGAUGCUAUUGCAUCACUACCAGAUGGACCUGCGUUGUAUUAGCUAGUAGGUGAGGUAACGGCUCACCUAGGCGACGAUACAUAGCCGACCUGAGAGGGUGAUCGGCCACACUGGGACUGAGACACGGCCCAGACUCCUACGGGAGGCAGCAGUAGGGAAUCUUCGGCAAUGGACGAAAGUCUGACCGAGCAACGCCGCGUGAGUGAAGAAGGUUUUCGGAUCGUAAAGCUCUGUUGUAAGAGAAGAACGGGUGUGAGAGUGGAAAGUUCACACUGUGACGGUAUCUUACCAGAAAGGGACGGCUAACUACGUG